GGAAGUAAAAGUUGUAACAAGGUUUCCGUAGGUGAACCUGCGGAAGGAUCAUUAUUGUAUAACCGAGGUUCGAGGGCUGUCGCUGACCCGAAAGGUCGUGCACGCCCGAGUGCCCUCACACACAUCCAUCUCACCCCUAUGUGCACCACCGCGUGGGUCCCCCUUUGGCUUGUUCGGAGGGGGGCUUACGUUUUCACACAAACUUUGUAUGCAGUGUAGAAUGUAUUUUUUGUUUUUGCGAUCACGCAAUCAAUACAACUUUCAACAACGGAUCUCUUGGCUCUC
rnacentral:misc_RNA from 1 species